CAGCCACAGCAGCUGUAAAACGAGGUGGAAAUACAGGGCCUGACAGAAAGGCGGAGGAUGCCUUUCGGCAGAGCUUUCUCGAGCAAGACAGGAGCGGAGACAUUUCAGACAAAAACAUCCCUUCCUUAUUGCCCCUCUGCGAACCCCGGGACAGCUGCAACAGGGCAAACGCCGGCAGCCGCCCGUGCCCACAGAAAGAUUUUCUAGAUGGGUUGCCUCAUGAGAAAAGAGUCAAAGAUGAUGACAGUUCUAGGCAAAACUCUUGAAUCAUUUAGUCCAGCUUUCUGAAUUGGGCAAAACACCUUGCUGUGUAUUUACACUUGACUUUGAAUUAACUCUUGGAUGUUUGCAACAACAGCAUCUCAGCAGUCAGGGAGACCUUGUGAAGCUGUUUCCCUUCACUUAGUAGCCUAUCGUAAGACUUUUUAAAAUUAAUCUAUAAAUUUUGUUGGUUUUUUUUUUUUUCCCUGGCAGCUUCUAAUCAGUAUGAAACGUGAAGAUGCCCUUUCUUCUAAUCAGUAAUGUAUUUCAUUGUAUAUAAAUUGUAUUUUCAUAUGCUUAUCCCAGAUAAAAGUAUAAGAAACAAUAUGUAUAUUGUCUCUGGAAGGGGCAGAGUCUCUAUAGAAUAAUAUUACUUCUGUUGCCUUUUUAAGGGGCUCUGAUCUGGUGGUAUCCAGGAAAAUAAUUCUUGCUUCUGUGACUUCUUUUCCUCCAUGUCUUCCCUUUAAAGUAAACCAAACCAAAUUCUGUAGGACCACUGGGAAAUUCUUUGAGAGGAAGGCUGCAAUAUGCAUCUGUGCCAGCCAAACGGCUUUCUAAUUCCCGGUUUCAUUUCCUGAAGGCGCCUAAGUAGGACUGAGCUGCUGGAUGUCUGAACUUCUCCCUGCUGUAUGUAUUUUAUCUAUUAUCUCAGACACAGUUCAGAAGACUAUAUACUGUAUAAAAAAGCAUACAGAAGUUGUGACCAACCACACAUAGCCUGUACUCCAAAAUGACAUAAAGAAGGCUGGUUUUGAGAAGAGGGCCUAAGGAUGGGCAAGGGGAGGGAAAUACUUUGCGCGAAGCAGAAGUCUGUGAGACGGCGUUCUGCAUAAACCUGCCCGUCUGGUUUCAAGAUGUGUCUCAUAGGGCAGUUUUACUAUCCCCAGCAUAGCUACUGAUGCUUGUCCCGAAGAAAGAUAAUCCAUUAUGACCUGUCCUGCCUAAAUAUCUACAACCCCUUUCUGGAUUUAGUGAAAAACCCUCCUUACCAGCCAACCUUCAAGUGUAUCUCUGCAGAAGGACGUAAAACCCAGCAGGACUCCCUUAUCACAUGGCAUUAACUGAUGUGAUGCUGUCAUUUUCGAUAUGUGUGACUUCUUGCCUCCAACCCCCAUGCUGAGGUCUCGUGUUCCUUUUUUCCCCAGGGUCAUGUCGUACACAGAGUCCCCACUGUGGCUUUGCUCUGCUGGGUCAAGGGAAACAUGAGAUGACAAUUUUUACACUUUCCUAUUAAUGGUUAAAUUUGGAGAAGGAAAAACAAGAGGUGUUUGUGGAUUUCAUCUUCAAGAUUGAUUUUAUAAAUCAGGAUAAAAUGUAAAGACGGACCCUCCUCAGGGCUUUUGACCUCCUGUACCUUUAAGAGAGUGGUAGCGGGAUGGCAUCUAACAGGCUCUGUAGCUGUCCCAGAUUUUAACUGUUUUCUUCUGAAUAGCAAGUAUGUGAUUCAAAGAGUGCCUGGCAAAAGCUUCUUGUAUUUUUGCAGUAGCAGCAUUGGAAAUAUUUCAUGCAUAUAUAAGAUCCAGCAUCCACGUAGACUGUUGUUGUUUUCUGCAACUUUUUGUAAGUUUGGGGAAAACUUAAUAAGUACUGUUUCUCUUUCUUUCUUUCUUUAAAAAAGACAGGGAGAGAAAGCCUGCAUUUUCUGCCAUUUCCCAAGAGGCUUUUUAUCUGUUUAAACCAACUAGGGAUUUUUCACAUAUUGACAUAAGCAUUCAUUUGCUAAUUUGCUGGACAUUAAACUGCACAGCAUUCUUGAAUGAGACUGGAAUACUUGGGUACUUAGUGCUGCUCAGACCCCGCAUCAUUCCCAGUACACAUAUGGUUUUCCUCCUCUAUCUCCUAGAUAAAAGUCACUGUUUGAUCGCCUUAAGGAAAAGAAUGAGUUAAAUGGACCAAUAUUCUAGCCUUGGCUCUAAAACUGGGCCUUUUCAGAAACUCCUCAGCACCUGCAGCAGCUAGGUCAUUUGCACAUACAUAAAUAAAUAAAUUAACAAUGAAUAAAUAAUUUAAUCCCACCACACAAUGCCACCUUGCAGAUCUGAUCCUUUGCUCCCAGUGAAUUUGUCCAUUCCUAAUUCUUUUUGAUAAAGUCCUCAGAUACUUGCUGACUGUCAGUCUAAUUUUCUUAUUGUUUUCGCUUGAUUAGUUCUGUAUGACCUAAGGUCGCCCUUAAAAUCCACAUCUCUCGUGAAGACUCCGAAAGGCCUUCUUUUUUUCAAAGGGAUGGAAAGUGCCUGCCAUUUCUCCGGACAAAAGCCUGGAAGGUUUUCAGUUAUUAGCCUCCUGAAGCAGCCCUUUCGCUCACCCAAGCGCAAAAAAAACUCAUUAGGGGGCACCUUUCUUUCUGGCUUCUUUAACUGACGCAUGUAGGGUUUACGUGUUUCAAGAUUUGCAGGUCUUGGAUGAAUUUGGACAGCCUCCCUUUUAACCCUGCCGGCCUGCAGUUAUGCCCACCACAGAUACUCGCCGUAGCUCAGUGCCCUUAACCACCUGGAGAUGCUUCGUCUUUUUAAAAGCCGCUUUACACCCCGCUUCGUGGUGAACAGAAGUCACGUCAGCGUGCUGCUGCACUCCGAAGCCACGCUCCCGCGGGGUGUGGGUGGAAAGGCAGGCAAGGCUGCCAGCUGCCGACAGGCUCCACGUUUUGCACUUUGCGAUUAAAAUAGGAAAUCAAAGUUAGUGUCUCGGUCACGCAACCCUUAUUACCGUCGGAGGGAUUUGCAAGACUAAGGCAGUACAGCCCUGAGAGCCUGCCGUGGCUGGGCGGCAUUAUGCCCUGGCCUGCUUAUUCUCUUUCAGGCAGCAAGGUAAUUACUCUUCUCAUAUAGGCUGAGUUGCCUUCCUGAGCCAUGCCAGGUGGGCUAGAGAGACUCCCUAAAGAUGUGUCUUCACACACAUCGUAUCUGGCCAUCUUGCCCUUCGGAGGGAAUGUGCAAAGUUGCUGGCUUCUGCAUUCGCUUGGGCUGGCAGAGGUUGUAGAUCAGGACAGCACCUGAUCUGCCGUACUUAAACAGUGCUGCCCAGCAAUGCCAUACCUGUGGUUACCUUUUAAGAAGAGAAACAGCCUGAAAUUGUACUGACAGGUAUUACAGUAAGGAGUGUUUCUCGCUUACCUAGGCUCUGGUAUAUUUGUGAAAGAGAGACAUCAUGUGAUUGAAGAGAGGUAGGAGCAAACCAAUUAUGUUUUCUCUUUCAGAAAAGGGCUGCCUAGUCUCUUUGAAGAGAGACCUCAGUUCAGGCUGGGAUCUGAGCCUAAAGAGGAGAAAGAUGUGCAGAAACAGAAGGAAAAUAAGCAGGUCCAAAAAGUGUAGGUGGAAGAUAUCCUAGGCAGGUAUAGAAAAAUAGGUGUCUUGCUCCUGCAACACUGCUUCUCUUUGUCCUGAAGGGCAGCUUGUCUUCCACUGGGCUAGAACUGACUAUGAUCCUUCUGGGUUAAAAUUUGGUAGGGAAGCUCAAGGCUGUAGCUGAGGUCCUACUUCCAAGCAUGCAUAUUUGUGACCACUAAUUUUGGUCCCCGGCUGUUUUUAGGUAUAUUGUCCUUGUUAGGUUGGAAGAAUGCACCAUUAUGACCACUGGUUCUUUUCCUAACUUGCCAGUUCCUCCGAAAUCCCCACAAUACCAACACUUUACCUCAAUGUGGUUUUCCUCUGAAAUCUGAGUGAAACAGCCCUCAGUUAAGUAAAGCGCGUCAAGUGCAUAAAGCUGAGCCUAUGUGCAAAUCCUUGCAGGGUCGGCACUGCAAACUGCAUUACUCUUUCUGCUGGUAUAAAUGCUGAGCAGUGAUUGGUUGGAUAUAGCGUAAAAUAAUGCGGAAGCUAUGUGGUCUACUCCAUAAUACAAAGUAAUAGUUACAUUAUGGUCUGAAGAAUAGCAGAAACAACAAGAAAUGAGAAACGAGGGGAAUUUUGGACUGCAACCUGGCAGUAACGUGGUGUUUAAUCUUGACUUGUGAUCCUCUGUCAGUAGGGUCCUGCUCCGUGUUUCUAAUCUGCCGACUGAGUAGCUGUCAAAAUUCAUUCCACUCUUUGUAACCUGGGUAAUCUCAUCUCCCAGAAAACUUCAGGACUACAGUGGAUCUUGGAGCACAUCGUUGGGACCACAUAGAAAUUGUGAUGUUGUGAUACAUCAAUUUUGUAGAGGCUGCUGAAGGCACAAGGAGACAAAUCACAAGGAGAAAUUGUAUCAACAUGAUAACAGGCAGAGUCAUGUUUAUAACUUUGCAUCAGUUUCCUUCCCUGCUUCAAGCUAUGCAGGGGUAUCAAAAGCUUCCUGAAUAAACACUACCCAGCAAUAGAGGAUGGGUUGGAAGAUUUAGAUGAAAUUAACUCCUGGUGUCUCACUCAGGAGAUCAUGUAUCUUCUGCUGAUGAGGUAAGACAUACGACCUUGGAAAUCACAGUAAAAAUAAGGUAGAACCAUUGUGGAUGGUGAUGUCCCUGGAGAUCCACUCAUUAUCCCUCAUUCAGAGGAUUUUCUAUCUGAGCAAGCAUCAUUUUAGCAGUCUGAUGUCCGUUGGCAUAAAACUAUAAUCCUUAGAAAAAUUUCUGAAGACAUCAAUGACUUUGCUGGGAGUUUGCUGGUUAAGUACGCAGUUAUUUGGCUAAUAAUAGGAAUAACUUCCUAUUUUUCUUCAAAAUAGUCAUUAUCUAUUGUUGUUGCUCAUUUUAGUGCCAUUACAUUUUGUCUUUUGGUGUUUUGAGGGAAGGUUUGACAUCCAGUCUGAAAUAGCAAGUGAACUCUGCAAGCUUGAGAAACUUUAAUGAUAAAUAAGGAUGACACAUUGGGUUUUCAGGAGUUUGUGAGACAUUUGGCUACUCCUCGAGCUCUGCAUGUUUUCCCAACGCCAAGCAUUGUCCACCCGAAAAAGGAGCUGAUAACUUAAGGCUGUGAAAAAGCUCAGCUGUAAUUCUGACAUCCUGGUGGUCAGGGUGUGGGCAAAUGUAAUUUAUUUCAGUGGGAUAAAAAUGGUGGUCGUGAAACUGUGUUCUAACAUGGUGCGCUGUUUCAAAAAUGGAAUGAAACUGGAUGAGCAGGGGGUUCAGCGCCAAAAUAGCACCUGGCUAAGGAUAAGCUUUCUUUUUAAAAUGCA